UAUCUCUGUAGAGUCUGCAUAUCAAUAAGCGGAGGAAAAGAAACUAACUAGGAUUCCCUCAGUAACGGCGAGUGAAGCGGGAAGAGCUCAAAUUUGAAAUCUUCAAGGUUCUACCUUGACGAAUUGUAGUUUAAAGAAGUGUUUUCUGUUGGAGUUUUGGUAAAAGUUCUUUGGAAUAGGACAUCAUAGAGGGUGAGAAUCCCGUAUUUGACCAUUAUUUUCAGCUUUGUGAUACACUUUCAAAGAGUCGGAUUGUUUGGGAAUGCAGUCCAAAAUGGGUGGUAAAUUUCAUCUAAAGCUAAAUACUGGCGAGAGACCGAUAGCGAACAAGUACCGUGAGGGAAAGAUGAAAAGAACUUUGAAAAGAGAGUUAAACAGUACGUGAAAUUGUCAAAAGGGAAGCGUUUGACACCAGUGUUGUUUUCCUCGAAAAUCAAUUAAAAAAGGCAGGAUUUUGUGUUGUAUUGACUUUAUCAGCUUUCUGCACUCUUUUCUUGUCUUUUUUAAUGCACUUUUCGUUUAACAAGUCAACAUCAAUUUCCUUUCGUUGUAAAAGGGUCAUUGGAAGGUGGCUUUCUUUUCGGAGAAAGUGUUUAUAGCCUUUGGCCUCUGCAAUCGGAGAGAUUGAGGUCUGCAGCGUAGAUCCUUCGGGGUUAGAUACAUUUGUGCUAAGUUAUAGCCUUUCAUAGACAACUUGUUGACUAUGAUCAGUCAUGUAGCUUACUCGCUUAUGCUAUUUUACCUACGCUUAGGAUGUUGACGAUCAGCUGAGCGCG
rnacentral:rRNA from 1 species